GUCGCUCUGUUGUUCAGAGUUAUUAAAUGAAAAAAUAUAGUAAAAGUAAAACCCUCAGAAUAUCUUCGUAAUUGUUGCAAUCCUCAGUGUUUCCCUUAGCUUAAUCAAAACAUUAAAUAAUUCCAGCUUUCAGCGCAUCGCAUAUUAAUCGCGAUUAAUUUAAUUUUAUAUAAGGGACACAUAAUGUCUAAUUCAAAUAAAGCAACUGGUCUAGUAAAAUGGUUUAACGAAGAGAAAGGUUUUGGCUUUAUCUCUCAAGACAAUGGUGGCGCUGAUGUGUUUGUACACUUCCGUGCAAUUGCUUCUGAAGGAUUUAAAACUCUUUCUGAAGGCCAAAAAGUUUCUUUCGAAGUUGAGCAAGGCCAAAAAGGCCCUCAAGCUGCAAACGUUGUAGCGCUUUAAUUUCGAAUUGUAGCGUAAAUUAUCUCUGUAUAAUUUACGCCGCA
rnacentral:sRNA from 1 species